rnacentral:rRNA from 1 species
GAUGAACGCUGGCGGCGUGCCUAAUACAUGCAAGUCGAGCGAACGGACGAGAAGCUUGCUUCUCUGAUGUUAGCGGCGGACGGGUGAGUAACACGUGGAUAACCUACCUAUAAGACUGGGAUAACUUCGGGAAACCGGAGCUAAUACCGGAUAAUAUUUUGAACCGCAUGGUUCAAAAGUGAAAGACGGUCUUGCUGUCACUUAUUGAUGGAUCCGCGCUGCAUUAGCUAGUUGGUAAGGUAACGGCGUACCAAGGCAACGAUGCAUAGCCGACCUGAGAGAGUAAUCGGCCACACUCGAACUGAGACACGGUCCAGACUCCUACGGGAGGCAGCAGUAGGGAAUCUUGCGCAAUGGGCGAAAGCCUGACGGAGCAACGCCACGUGAGUGAUGAAGGUCUUCGGAUCGUAAAACUCUGUUAUUAGGGAAGAACAUAUGUGUAAGUAACUGUGCACAUCUUGACGGUACCUAAUCAGAAAGCCACGGCUAACUACGUG